CUACGUGCCAGCAGCCGCGGUAAUACGUAGGGUGCGAGCGUUAAUCGGAAUUACUGGGCGUAAAGCGGGCGCAGACGGUUACUUAAGCAGGAUGUGAAAUCCCCGGGCUCAACCUGGGAACUGCGUUCUGAACUGGGUGACUAGAGUGUGUCAGAGGGAGGUAGAAUUCCACGUGUAGCAGUGAAAUGCGUAGAGAUGUGGAGGAAUACCGAUGGCGAAGGCAGCCUCCUGGGAUAACACUGACGUUCAUGCCCGAAAGCGUGGGUAGCAAACAGGAUUAGAUACCCUGGUAGUCCACGCCCUAAACGAUGUCGAUUAGCUGUUGGGCAGCAUGACUGCUUAGUAGCGAAGCUAACGCGUGAAAUCGACCGCCUGGGGAGUACGGUCGCAAGAUUAAAACCCAAAGGAAUUGACGGGGACCCGCACAAGCGGUGGAUGAUGUGGAUUAAUUCGAUGCAACGCGAAGAACCUUACCUGGUCUUGACAU
rnacentral:rRNA from 1 species